rnacentral:rRNA from 1 species
GACGAACGCUGGCGGCGUGCUUAACACAUGCAAGUCGAACGGAAAGGCCCUGCUUUUGUGGGGUGCUCGAGUGGCGAACGGGUGAGUAACACGUGAGUAACCUGACCUUGACUUUGGGAUAACUUCAGGUAACUGGGGCUAAUACCGGAUAGGAGCUCCUGCUGCAUGGUGGGGGUUGGAACGUUUCGGCGGUUGGGGAUGGACUCGCGGCUUAUCAGCUUGUUGGUGGGGUAGUGGCUUACCAUGGCUUUGACGGGUACCCGGCCUGAGAGGGUGACCGGCCACAUGAGGACUGAGGUACGGCCCAGACGCCUACGGGAGGCAGCAGUGGGGAAUAUUGCACAAUGGGCGGAAGCCUGAUGCAGCAACGCCGCGUGCGGGAUGACGGCCUUCGGGUUGUAAACCGCUUUCGCCUGUGACGAAGCGUGAGUGACGGUAAUGGGUAAAGAAGCACCGGCUAACUACGUG